rnacentral:rRNA from 1 species
AUUGAACGCUGGCGGCAUGCUUUACACAUGCAAGUCGAACGGUAACAGGCCGCAAGGUGCUGACGAGUGGCGAACGGGUGAGUAAUGCAUCGGAACGUGCCCAGUCGUGGGGGAUAACGCAGCGAAAGCUGUGCUAAUACCGCAUACGAUCUAUGGAUGAAAGCGGGGGACCGUAAGGCCUCGCGCGAUUGGAGCGGCCGAUGUCAGAUUAGGUAGUUGGUGGGGUAAAGGCCUACCAAGCCGACGAUCUGUAGCUGGUCUGAGAGGACGACCAGCCGAACAGGGACUAAGAGACGGCCCAGCCUGCUACGGGAGGCAGCAGUGGGUAAUUUUAGAGAAUGAGCGCAAGACUGAACCAGCAAUGCCGCGUGCAGGAAGAAGGCCUUCGGGUUGUAAACUGCUUUUGUACGGAACGAAACGGCCUGGGUUAAUACCCUGGGCUAAUGACGGUACCGUAAGAAUAAGCACCGGCUAACUACGUGCCAGCAGCCGCAGUAAAAC